GACAACAAACACUUGCGUUGGGGGGCUCAAUUCACUCUCAAUUCAACACACGGGGCAACAUAGAACUCAACAUAUACAAUUAACAUACAGUACUCAAAUAUAAUAGAGAGUUCUACUCAAUCUUAAAAUCACACGUAUCCAUAACAUCAUAAUAACAGGCGCGCAUAUCAUAAUUAGAGAAACUCAACUCAACUCUAUCCAUAUCCAUCUCUGCAAUUCCACAGUAUAAGAACGCAGUCUAUCCUUCACUGCACACCAAACCCUAGUCCACUUUCCUGUUAAGCAUCCUGAAUAACAUCAACACAUCUCUUAUCCGAGUUCACAUGGAGUCAAAUCUAAAGACUUUCUUGUAUCUUCGAGAGUUACAAAAUAAACCUUGUGGAUCUAAAAGCAGAGGACAAAGAUCAGAUGCAAAUUUAGGUAAAGAUAAAAAGUUUAUAUGUAAUACCCAAGUCUGCUUAUGAAAUUUUCAUGAUAUCACGUGCUUUGCACAUGGCCUCCAG
rnacentral:misc_RNA from 1 species